AUUGAACGCUGGCGGCAGGCCUAACACAUGCAAGUCGAGCGCGAAAGUUCUUCGGAAUGAGUAAAGCGGCGGACGGGUGAGUAAUACAUGGGAAUCUGCCUGGUAGUGGGGGACAACGUUUCGAAAGGAACGCUAAUACCGCAUACGUCCUACGGGAGAAAGCAGGGGACCUUCGGGCCUUGCGCUAUCAGAUGAGCCUA
rnacentral:rRNA from 1 species